rfam:Hordeum vulgare subsp. vulgare, WGS project CAJW01000000 data, contig: morex_contig_41222
UAUAUACUCCCUCCAUCCGGAAAUACUUGUCAUAAGAAUGGAUGUAUCUAGAUGNNNNNNAGUUCUAGAUACAUCCAUUUGUAUCCAUUUUUAUGACUAGUAAUUUCGGACGGAAGGACUACUAG